AGUCACUGCUAUUGGAGUUCGAUUAAGCCAUGCGAGUCAAGGGAACUUCGGUUACCGGCGUACUGCUCAGUAACACGUGGAUAAUCUGCCCUUGGGUGGGGGAUAGCCUCGGGAAACUGAGGGUAAUACCCCAUAGGUCAUAAUUGCUGGAAUGCAUCUUGACUUAAAGCUCCGGCGCCCAAGGAUGAGUCUGCGGCCUAUCAGGUUGUAGUGGGUGUAAUGGACCCACUAUCCUACGACGGGUACGGGUCGUGAGAGCGAUUGCCCGGAGAUGGAUUCUGAGACAUGAAUCCAGGCCCUACGGGGCGCAGCAGGCGCGAAAACUUCGCAAUGUGGGAAACCACGACGAGGGAAUUCCAAGUGCUCGCACAUUGUGCGAGCUUUUCUUAUACCUAAAAAGUAUGGGGAAUAAGGGCUGGGUAAGACGGGUGCCAGCCGCCGCGGUAAUACCCGCAGCCCAAGUGGUGAUCGUUAUUAUUGGGCUUAAAACGUCCGUAGCCUGUCAGGUAAAUCUCUGGGUAAAUCGACUGGCUUAACCAGCCGAAUUCCGGAGAGACUGCCAGACUUGGGACCGGGUGAGGGUGGAGGUACUUCAGGGGGAGGGGUGAAAUCCUUUAAUCCUUGAAGGACCACCAGUGGCGAAAGCGUCCACCUAGAACGGCUCCGACGGUAAGGGACGAAACCCUGGGGCGCAAACGGGAUUAGAUACCCCGGUAGUCCAGGGCGUAAACGCUGUGGGCUUGGUGUUGGGUGUCCUACGAGGGCAUUCAGUGCCGUAGAGAAAUUGUUAAGCUUACUGCCUGGGGAGUACGCUCGCAAGAGUGAAACUUAAAGGAAUUGGCGGGGGAGCACCGCAACGGGUGGAGCGUGCGGUUUAAUUGGAUUCAACGCCGGAUUGAUCCUUCCGGUUGAUCCCGCCGGAAUUGGAGUCAACGCCGGA
rnacentral:rRNA from 1 species